GUGUCAGCCGCCGCGGUAAGACGGAGGAGGCGAGCGUUAUCCGGAUUUACUGGGCGUCAAGGGCGCGUAGGCGGCCUGACAGGUCGUGGGUGAAAGCCCCGGGCUCAACCCGGGGAGGUCCCGCGAUACCAUCAGGCUUGAGGAUCGUAGAGGGGGGCGGAAUGUCCGGUGGAGCGGUGGAAUGCGUAGAUAUCGGACGGAACACCCGAGGCGAAGGCGGCCCCCUGGGCGAUACCUGACGCUGAGGCGCGAAAGCGUGGGGAGCAAAGCGGAUUAGAAACCCGCGUAGUCC
rnacentral:rRNA from 1 species